GAUGAACGCUGGCGGCGUGCCUAAUACAUGCAAGUCGAGCGAACAGACGAGGAGCUUGCUCCUCUGACGUUAGCGGCGGACGGGUGAGUAACACGUGGAUAACCUACCUAUAAGACUGGGAUAACUUCGGGAAACCGGAGCUAAUACCGGAUAAUAUAUUGAACCGCAUGGUUCAAUAGUUAAAGACGGUUUUGCUGUCACUUAUAGAUGGAUCCGCGCCGGAUUAGCUAGUUGGUAAGGUAACGGCUUACCAAGGCAACGAUGCGUAGCUGACCUGAGAGGGUGAUCGGCCACACUGGAACUGAGACACGGUCCAGACUCCUACGGGAGGCAGCAGUGGGGAAUCUUGGACAAUGGGCGCAAGCCUGAUGGAGCCAUACCGCGUGGGUGAAGAAGGCCUUCGGGUUGUAAAGCCCUUUUGUUGGGAAAGAAAAGCAGCAGGUUAAUACACCGCUGUUUUGACGGUACCCAAAGAAAAAGCCCCGGCUAACUUCGUG
rnacentral:rRNA from 1 species